UAUUUUGGGUUACUUGCAGUCGAUCAUAGGACAAAACUAAUUUAAUUGAGGAAGUAUCUUGGUUUGAUUAUGGACAUAGAGGGAUGCAGGUUUGGUAUCCUUCUUUGGGUGCUGACCCUUUUAAGCAGGAGGAUUUCUUACAGGGACAAACGCGAAGAAGCUUUGAGGCUGGCUCCGUUAUCAGCAUAGAAGCCUCAUUUUUCUCACUGUUUGGAGUGGCUUCUCUUUAGGGUGUUUGAUGCAGAAAUAUCCAGUGUUGGUCCUGAGGAUGCUGCAGUUGUUGGUAAUCAACUGUCAGAAGAAGAGAAAACUACUCUUCAGGUAAUAUUUGUAUUAGUUGAUGUUUGUUUUUCUUCAAAGAUAGAAGUGCCUUGGAUCAAUCAGCGUGGUCUGUCUAGACAUUAGAUAUGAUUAUCAUAGUGCCCAGUAUAUUGUGACAGUUCAAUAUCUAAAAACUAAACUUUUCUGUACUCAAUUGUGAAGCACUACAUACGAUUUAAGAGUCA